GAUGAACGCUGGCGGCGUGCCUAAUACAUGCAAGUAGAACGCUGAAGGAGGAGCUUGCUCUUCUGGAUGAGUUGCGAACGGGUGAGUAACGCGUAGGUAACCUGCCUGGUAGCGGGGGAUAACUAUUGGAAACGAUAGCUAAUACCGCAUGACAACAGUUAUUGCAUGAUAACUGUUUAAAAGGGGCAACUGCUCCACUACCAGAUGGACCUGCGUUGUAUUAGCUAGUUGGUGAGGUAACGGCUCACCAAGGCGACGAUACAUAGCCGACCUGAGAGGGUGAUCGGCCACACUGGGACUGAGACACGGCCCAGACUCCUACGGGAGGCAGCAGUAGGGAAUCUUCGGCAAUGGACGGAAGUCUGACCGAGCAACGCCGCGUGAGUGAAGAAGGUUUUCGGAUCGUAAAGCUCUGUUGUAAGAGAAGAACGAGUGUGAGAGUGGAAAGUUCACACUGUGACGGUAUCUUAUCAGAAAGGGACGGCUAACUACGU
rnacentral:rRNA from 1 species